UACGUAGGGUGCGAGCGUUGUCCGGAAUUACUGGGCGUAAAGAGCUCGUAGGUGGUUUGUCGCGUUGGUCGUGAAAGCUCACAGCUUAACUGUGGGCGUGCGGGCGAUACGGGCAGACUGGAGUACUGCAGGGGAGACUGGAAUUCCUGGUGUAGCGGUGGAAUGCGCAGAUAUCAGGAGGAACACCGGUGGCGAAGGCGGGUCUCUGGGCAGUAACUGACGCUGAGGAGCGAAAGCGUGGGGAGCGAACAGG
rnacentral:rRNA from 1 species